rnacentral:rRNA from 1 species
AUUGAACGCUGGCGGCAUGCUUUACACAUGCAAGUCGAACGGUAACAGGCCGCAAGGUGCUGACGAGUGGCGAGCGGGUGAGUAAUGCAUCGGAACGUGCCCAGUCGUGGGGGAUAACUGCUCGAAAGAGCAGCUAAUACCGCAUACGAUCUAUGGAUGAAAGCGGGGGACCGUCAGGCCUCGUGCGAUUGGAGCGGCCGGUGUCAGAUUAGGUAGUUGGUGGGGUAAAGGCUCACCAAGCCAACGAUCUGUAGCUGGUCUGAGAGGACGACCAGCCACACUGGGACUGAGACACGGCCCAGACUCCUACGGGAGGCAGCAGUGGGGAAUUUUGGACAAUGGGGGCAACCCUGAUCCAGCAAUGCCGCGUGCAGGAAGAAGGCCUUCGGGUUGUAAAGCACUUUUGUCCGGAAAGAAAUGGCUCUGGUUAAUACCUGGGGUCGAUGACGGUACCGGAAGAAUAAGGACCGGCUAACUACGUGCCAGCCGCCGCGGUAACAC